rnacentral:lncRNA from 1 species
AUGAAAUUGGAGAUGAUGAAAAACCAGAGUGUUCAGUCCUGACAUCAGCACUGAAAGGGGUCCCCGAGGGACGCGUGCAGAAGCAACACGCAGUGGCAGCCCAGAAGGAGCGGUGACUCACGGUGGCUCAGGCGCCUGCCCCUAUGAAAGUAUUGGACCAGCAGCCCUCUGGGUGAUAAGCGUGCAGGCGGCCCUGACUCUCCGGGUCUGCGGGGCAGACCGGGAAAUCCCGAAGAGCUUGUGGCUCCAUGCCUUCUAGGGCUGGCGCCUGGUGACCGGCACGGACCAGCGGGUCAUUUGUCUGCUGCAGACCAUCAAAUCCCAAGGAUCCCUCCGGGCU